AACGAACGCUGGCGGCAUGCCUAACACAUGCAAGUCGAACGAGACCUUCGGGUCUAGUGGCGCACGGGUGCGUAACGCGUGGGAAUCUGCCCCUCGGUUCGGAAUAACAGUGAGAAAUUACUGCUAAUACCGGAUAAUGUCUUCGGACCAAGGAUUUAUCGCCUUUGGAUGGGCCCGCGUAAGAUUAGGUAGUUGGUGGGGUAAAGGCCUACCAAGCCGACGAUCUUUAGCUGGUCUGAGAGGAUGAUCAGCCACACUGGGACUGAGACACGGCCCAGACUCCUACGGGAGGCAGCAGUGGGGAAUAUUGGACAAUGGGCGAAAGCCUGAUCCAGCAAUGCCGCGUGAGUGAUGAAGGCCUUAGGGUUGUAAAGCUCUUUUACCAGGGAUGAUAAUGACAGUACCUGGAGAAUAAGCUCCGGCUAACUCCGUGCCAGCCGCCGCAGUAACAC
rnacentral:rRNA from 1 species